rnacentral:rRNA from 1 species
UACGUAGGGUGCGAGCGUUGUCCGGAAUUAUUGGGCGUAAAGGGCUCGUAGGCGGUCUGUCGCGUCGAACGUGAAAACCCAGGGCUUAACCCUGGGCCUGCUUCCGAUACGGGCAGACUAGAGGUAUGCAGAGGAGAACGGAAUUCCUGGUGUAGCGGUGAAAUGCGCAGAUAUCAGGAGGAACACCGGUGGCGAAGGCGGUUCUCUGGGCAUUACCUGACGCUGAGGAGCGAAAGUGUGGGGAGCGAACAGG